AGUAAUAUAUCGGAACGUACCCUGGAGUGGGGGAUAACGUAGCGAAAGUUACGCUAAUACCGCAUACGAUCUACGGAUGAAAGUGGGGGAUCGCAAGACCUCAUGCUCGUGGAGCGGCCGAUAUCUGAUUAGCUAGUUGGUAGGGUAAAAGCCUACCAAGGCAUCGAUCAGUAGCUGGUCUGAGAGGACGACCAGCCACACUGGAACUGAGACACGGUCCAGACUCCUACGGGAGGCAGCAGUGGGGAAUUUUGGACAAUGGGCGAAAGCCUGAUCCAGCAAUGCCGCGUGAGUGA
rnacentral:rRNA from 1 species